rnacentral:rRNA from 1 species
AUUGAACGCUGGCGGCAGGCCUAACACAUGCAAGUCGAACGAGUCGCGGACGGGUGAGAAACGUCUGGGAACUUGCCUGAUGGAGGGGGUUAACUACUGGAAACGGUAGCUAAUACCGCAUACCAUCAGAUGUUACCAGAUGGGAUUAGCUUGUUGGUGGGUUAACGGCUCACCAAGGCAACGAUCCCUAGCUGGUCUGAGAGGGUGACCAGCCACACUGGAACUGAGACACGGUCCAGACUCCUACGGGAGGCAGCAGUAGGGAAUCUUGCACAAUGGGCGCAAGCCUGAUGGAGCCAUGCCGCGUGUAUGAAGAAGGCCUUCGGGUUGUAAAGUACUGUCAGCAGGGAGGCGUUACCCGCAGAGAAAGCACCGGCUAACUCCGUGCCAGCAGCCGCGGUAAUUC